rnacentral:rRNA from 1 species
GAUGAACGCUAGCGAUAGGCUUAACACAUGCAAGUCGAGGGGCAGCACAAGGUAGCUUGCUAUCUGGGUGGCGACCGGCGCACGGGUGCGUAACGCGUAUGCAACUUGCCCUAUACAGGAGGAUAACCCGUCGAAAGACGGACUAAUACUGCGUAUGCUCACAACUUGGCAUCAAGUGGUGAGGAAAGAAAUUCGGUAUAGGAUAGGCAUGCGUCCCAUUAGCUUGUUGGUGAGGUAACGGCUCACCAGGGCAACGAUGGGUAGGGGAACUGAGAGGUUUAUCCCCCACACUGGUACUGAGACACGGACCAGACUCCUACGGGAGGCAGCAGUGAGGAAUAUUGGUCAAUGGGCGCGAGCCUGAACCAGCCAAGUCGCGUGAAGGAUGACUGUCUUAUGGAUUGUAAACUUCUUUUAUACGGGAAUAACAAGAGUCACGUGUGACUCCCUGCAUGUACCGUAUGAAUAAGCAUCGGCUAACUCCGUG